rnacentral:rRNA from 1 species
AGAGUUUGAUUCUGGCUCAGAACGAACGCUGGCGGCGUGGAUAAGACAUGCAAGUCGUGCGGAAAUUAGAUAGUAGCAAUACAAUCUGGUUUUAGCGGCGAACGGGUGCGUAACACGUGGGUAAUCUACCGUAAAGUUCGGGAUAACUUGCUGAAAGGUGAGCUAAUACCGGAUGUUAUCGUUUGAGGGCAUCCUUAAACGAUCAAAGCUGGGGAUCGAAAGACCUGGCGCUUUAUGAUGAGCCCGCGGCCUAUCAGCUAGAUGGCGAGGUAACGGCUCACCAUGGCUAAGACGGGUAGCUGGUCUGAGAGGACGAUCAGCCACACUGGAACUGAGACACGGUCCAGACACCUACGGGUGGCAGCAGUCGAGAAUCUUUCACAAUGGGCGAAAGCCUGAUGGAGCGACGCCGCGUGGGGGAUGAAUGGCUUCGGUCCGUAAACCCCUGUCAUUUGUGAGCAAUGCAGGUAGCUAAAUAGGUUGCCUGUUGAUAGUAGCGAAAGAGGAAGGGACGGCUAACUCUGUGCCAGCAGCCGCGGUAAUACAGAGGUCCCGAGCGUUGUUCGGAUUUACUGGGCGUAAAGCGUGCGUAGGUGGCUGAGUUAGUUUGAUGUGAAAUCUCCGGGCCUAACCCGGAAACUGCAUUGAAUACUAUUCGGCUAGAGGUCUGAAGGGGAGACUGGAAUUCUCGGUGUAGCAGUGAAAUGCGUAGAUAUCGAGAGGAACACCAGUGGCGAAGGCGAGUCUCUGGGCAGAUCCUGACACUGAGGCACGAAAGCUAGGGGAGCAAACAGGAUUAGAUACCCUGGUAGUCCUAGCCGUAAACGGUGCGCACUUGCUGUGGGCGGAAUCGACCCCGCCCGUGGCGAAGCUAACGCGAUAAGUGCGCCGCCUGGGGAGUACGGUCGCAAGACUAAAACUCAAAGAGAUUGACGGGGGCCAGCACAAGCGGUGGAGUAUGUGGCUUAAUUCGAUUCAACGCGAAGAACCUUACCUGGCCUUGACAUGUGAGUAGUAAAACCCUGAAAGGGGAAUGAUCCCGCAAGGGAAGCUUGCACAGGUGCUGCAUGGCUGUCGUCAGCUCGUGUCGUGAGAUGUUGGGUUAAGUCCCGCAACGAGCGCAACCCCUGUGUCCUGUUGCCACUCCCGUGUAAACGGGAAGCACUCUGGACAGACUGCCUCGUUUUAACGAGGAGGAAGGUGGGGAUGACGUCAAGUCAGUAUGGCCCUUACGGCCAGGGCUGCACACGUACUACAAUGCCCGGUACAAAGGGCCGCGAGACCGCAAGGUGGAGCAAAUCCCAUAAAACCGGGCCCAGUUCGGAUUGUCGUCUGCAACCCGACGGCAUGAAGCCGGAAUCGCUAGUAACGGCGUAUCAGCUGCGGCGCCGUGAAUACGUUCCCAGGCCUUGUACACACCGCCCGUCACAUCAUGAAAGCUGGUUGUACCCGAAGUCGUUGUGCCAACCCUUAGGAGGCAGGCGCCGAAGGUAUGGCUAGUGAUUGGGAUGAAGUCGUAACAAGGUA